UUCACCCAAACAAGGGCUAGUCCAGUCCCGACCAACUGCCGGAAUUCACUCGCCUAAAGGUAAUGACAAAACCUUAGAGUAUCAAGGAAACUCUUAAGAACCUCUCUAAGCUUUAAGGCUACUUCGCUUAGGAACCAGUCUUUUACGGGUAGACUCACACCUUAGAGUAUCAAGGACACUUUUAAGAACCUCUAACUUUUGCGGGUAAGUUAGUACCUUAGAGUAUCAAGGAACUCUUAAAAACCUCUCUAAGCUUUAAGGCUACUUCGCUUAGGAACCAGUCUUUUACGGGUAGACUCACACCUUAGAGUAUCAAGGACACUCUUAAGAACCUCUAACUUUUACGGGUAAGUUAGUACCUUAGAGUAUCAAGGAACUCUUAAAAACCUCUGAAAUCUUUAAAGGUAGACUCGACUUAAGAGUUUUCCCGGAAACUCUAUAAAACCAAACUAGAGUUUUAUGGUUGAGCUCACAAACCUUCUCUCACACUUUGGUACUAUUGAGACAACCCUCUCAACCAAAGUGGACACACACAAGAGGUGAUUAGAGGAGUGGAAUAUUAAAGCAAACAACACUUCUUACUUGUAAAGAUAAACAAGAAGAUUAGAAGAAGUUGGAGAGCUUUUGAAGCUUUGGAAAGCUAUGACACUUGAGCACUUGAAAGCUUGGAAGCUUGGAGGCAAAAACGUGUGGGCAAGUGUGGAGUGAAAGCUCUUGAGUUUGCUU
rnacentral:lncRNA from 1 species